rnacentral:rRNA from 1 species
CCUUCGGGAUUAGUGGCAGACGGGUGAGUAACGCGUGGGAAGCUACCUUGUGGUAGGGAACAACAGUUGGAAACGACUGCUAAUACCCUAUGAGCCCUAUGGGGGAAAGAUUUAUCGCCAUGAGAUGUGCCCGCGUUAGAUUAGCUAGUUGGUAAGGUAAUGGCUUACCAAGGCGACGAUCUAUAGCUGGUCUGAGAGGAUGAUCAGCCACACUGGGACUGAGACACGGCCCAGACUCCUACGGGAGGCAGCAGUGGGGAAUAUUGGACAAUGGGGGCAACCCUGAUCCAGCCAUGCCGCGUGAGUGAUGACGGCCUUAGGGUUGUAAAGCUCUUUCAGCAGUGAAGAUAAUGACAUUAACUGCAGAAGAAGCCCCGGCUAACUUCGUGCCAGCAGCCGCGGUAAUACGAAGGGGGCUAGCGUUGUUCGGAAUCACUGGGCGUAAAGCGUACGUAGGCGGACUGAUCAGUCAGGGGUGAAAUCCCGGGGCUCAACCCCGGAACUGCCUUUGAUACUGUCAGUCUUGAGAUCGAGAGAGGUGAGUGGAACUCCGAGUGUAGAGGUGAAAUUCGUAGAUAUUCGGAAGAACACCAGUGGCGAAGGCGGCUCACUGGCUCGAUACUGACGCUGAGGUACGAAA